rnacentral:rRNA from 1 species
UUGAAAGGGAAACGAUUGAAGUCAGUCGUGCUGGCGCGAAAUCAACCCUCUCGUCGAGAGGUCACAUGGCGUGGCGAGCCUCAAAACCGUCACGAAGCGUGAACUCUUGGCGAAAAGGAGCACUUUCGUGUCCGCUGGUUAACAUCAAUUUCGAACGUCAUAAAAAGGCUGGAGGGAUGUGGCUCCUUCGGGAGUGUUAUAACCUUUAGCGGAAUGUGGUGGUCGGGAUUGAGGUUUGCAACGAAUACCUUUAGGGCUGUUCCACCUGGCUUCUCUUUGGUAUCCUGGUGAAGACAGCUUGCUGACUUUGUUAGGAUUCGCCUUUGAACAGGCUAGAGUGUGAGCAAAUUCGUUAAGGAUGUUGACGUA